ensembl:lncRNA
GUUUGGAAGCAACAAGGUUAGGAAUGCUGGGGAAAAUAAAAAAAUAAGUGGGAGUUAAUAACUGCUGUUACUUAGUAAUUACUAUCAUCUUAUCAAUUUGUAGUUUUGGCCAAAAGCUUCAGUCAUAUUUUAGGCAUGUGUUUACUGGUCGGCUUUCUGCUUGCACUAUAAAGAGCAGCCAAAUGGCUGGCACUCUCAUUAUUUUUAAGACUGCAUGGGCUAUACUUUUUUUUGAGAUGAGGGUCUCCCUAUGUUGCCCACAUUGGUCUUGAACUUGUGGGCUCCAGUGAUCCUCCCGCCUCAGCCUCCCGAGUGGCUGAGACUGUAGAUGUGUGCCACUGUGCUCAGUUUUCUGUACUUAAUUGUCACAAGAUUAUGAACUCUUCCUAACAGGCUAGGAACAAAGGUCUUCAUCACAAUGCAAGAACACCUGGACAGGGGUUGCUACAAAGCAGUAGUGAGUUCAUUUUUAACCAAAGAACAGAGAGUUGAUGGUUAAGAAGAGUUCUAAUCCUCUUGGCAAAGUCAGCUUUGGGGGCCCAUGAAGAUUAUGCUGUGAAAAACUCAACUGGCUCCACUACACAGAAUCCGAGAGUGAUUGACCACCCACCGGACACGAGCGAGAGCUCCCUGAUGCCCCCAAUUUGAGUAGCACCAAAAUUUAGGAAAAAGACUGGGUAGAAGAGAAGUCAGGGAAGGAUGAGACUGAAGGCCUGCAUUUAACAUUAUUUCACUAACUAAACCUCCAGAAAAAUUGUUUUAUGUUGGCCAGGAUUUCCUAACACACAACCCAUUCACCUAUGUAAAAAAAAAUCUGUACAAGCUUCUGGUUAUUGUGAGGUAAAUUUUAUCCUUUGAGUUUGUUUUUUUUUAAGUCAUAAAUCAUGUGGCAUUCAUCUAACUUACUCCAAACAUCCUCACUAAAGGAAUAAAUCCUGUACUUACACUAGGGCAUCAUUCAUUAGAUUCAGAAAUAAUAAUGCUAUGAGUCAGAGUCUAACAUAAGACAGCAAAGUUGUUCUGUUUUUUUUAAGACAGAAAUGUUUUAAGCUAGAGUGUAGGCAUUAUAACAACAUUUAUGGAUAUAUAGGAACUACACUAAAGCAGUGGUGAAAGGAGAAGUGCCAAUAAUGAUAUUUGAAAACAGAAGAAUAACUGGCUGCUACCUCACAUCACCCCGUGAUGCUAAGUGUCUAAAUAUUGUGUUACUUUAUCAGAGUGUGAGUUAAGCUGGGUUCAAACCACGUUAGGGAGGAUGAGGCCUUAAGUCAUUUGCUUGAUUUUAUCCUAGGAAAUGCUGUAUGUGCACAAAACCAAAAAGUAAAAAAAUAAAAUAAAAUAAAAAACUUCAUGUGGAAACAUAAGUUUCAAAAUAUUUAUUAAAAACAAUUUUACCAUGACAUUCCUAUACCACAAACAUACCACAGGAUUCUAAAUACCAAUAGAGUAUACAAAGCCUACCCUGAAAAUAUCUUUGGAGGUAUUAAAUAUAUAGGCCCAUGAGGAGAGCUAAGUAACUUAAAAAUGUUAGUCCCUGGUCACACAGACUACUACUUGGUAAUUAAUAAAGGGUGGCUCUUGGCAUUAGACUAUCUGGGAGGGGGACAAGCUUCAUAAACUGCAGGGGUCCCAAUUUAUUCCUUCCUGAAUUUAAAAAGAAAAUAAUUCAAUCUGAGGAAUAAACUCGGGUUUCAAAAUCACAAAGUAGAGUCCCCAAUAAAUCAGCUCCUGGGGACCUAAAAGCACUAACUCCUCAAAGACUGCAAACAGCAGUUCCAAACAGGGUUAAAGUUGGGAAGUUCAAAGAGUGUUUAAAAUUUGAAAUCUCCCAUAACUCUUCUGGUACUCCAUGUGACAUUCAUCCAAUGUUCAUGUUAAAAGAAAACCAAAAUUCAACACACAUCCAUUCACCCACAGAUUACUCCAAGCAUUAGCCAGGAGCAGAAUCUCUAACAGCCAAGUCAUGAACCCCUGAAAAUAGGGGAGAAACUCAGAUUCUUAACUCUAGAGGCACCAGACGGGCCACUGUCAUAAGAAUUGAGGUAACAGCAAAAGACCUUUUAGUUUCUUGGUUUGCUAUGAGUCACAACUUAUCCAAUUUGAACAUUACCUCAACAUUAAAUAACCCACUGGCUUAAAAAAGAAUUAUCAAAACCAAAUA